ACAAUGUUCUCUUGAUUCUGCUUACUUCACUUAGCAUCAAGAACUUACAAUCUUAUUGGGAUGAGAGAUGAACUUCUAUAAAACAACGAGUGAUCACGAUGAACAUUUACUGCUGGACCGUCUUCCUUGCUUAUGGAAAAUUGAGCUCUUUUGACAAGGAUGUCACUAACAGCUGCUUUGCAGCUGGAAUAUUCUCUGAAGAAAUACACCGCCUCAUUGCGAACUACACAAAACAUGGGUUAUUAUAAAGAUGUGAGCAAAAAUAAAC
rnacentral:lncRNA from 1 species